GCGGGUAUAGUUCAGCGGUAGAACCCUAGCCUUCCAAGCUAGAUACGCGGGUUCGAUUCCCGCUACCCGCUCCA
rnacentral:tRNA from 1 species